rnacentral:hammerhead_ribozyme from 1 species
AUCCGGCUGACGAGUACCAAAUGGGAUGAAACGCGCGUCCUGGAU